CAGGCUUCUAUUACACCACGCCCACUCCGGCCCGUUCGCCAAUCAUUGCUUGUCGAGGGGAUAAAAGUAGGCCGUGCCCUUCCUCCUGAACUCUCGCUUCCUGCCUCUUCGGCCCGUCCAUUUCCGGGUCGUUGCCCUCGCCGCUCACCUCAGAGCACAGAUCUGCCGAGAUCCUCAUCACAAUCGGGGCAAUGUAUUGGGGUCGUUUACCGCCGCUGACCAGAGCAUAGAGCUGAAGGCCGACGGUGGUGGCGGUGGUCCUCCUGGGUGGUGGUGGUGAUCCUUUGUGUGCGUGUGCUUUGUUUUAGAUUUUAUUUGUUUGGACUUCACGUUUUUGCUGUGUGUGUGAGGUGCCCUUGUUUCUUUCGUUGGAUUAAAUUUCCCCCUGACGACCACUCUCCCAGCCGGUAAGCCUCAGCUUGCACCUACGUCCUUCCACAGUUGAGCUUACUUCUCUUUUUCAUCUUUUAUGCCAAACUGUAUUUAUAAUAAUAAAAUGCUUUGUUAUAUUUGAACUCUGUCUCCCGCCCUCCCUGAUUGAACGAACCUGAUAGUCUUAUCGUCAGAGGUGACAAUUAUACUCAUAGUGUAUAGGUCCUUGGGCCCUAACCCAAGGUGGCGUUGUCGGUAACAGAGAAAAUACUCUGACAAAAAAUAGUAAAGCCUCCUCGUGUCGCCACAUAUAGGCUACUUAGGGCGUUGGAGGGCUACCCUGAGUAACAUGAUGCAGCUGUUGAGGUUAAAGUCUCUGAGAUAAGACGUAUACAACUACUGUUAACUCAUUGUAAUUAAAAACCGUGUAACACCUUUAACCUGGGCUCACAUGGAGAGGGUUGUUUCUAUAAAGUCUGUAGAGAGUAUACCUCGCAAGCAAAGUCGAAUCAAGUCAAUUGUUUUUGUAUAGCUCUUAGUCACAGUUCAUGUGACGAUCACCAAUAAAUCACAACAAUAUCUGGUUUUGGAACGGGUCUGUGUUUUUCCUUUUAAAUAUUUAACAUUUAACUCGACAGAGGAGCACACGCAUCAACACAUUUGAAGUAGCCAACAUAGUGCAUGAAUGCACCCAAAGUCAGAGUGUGA